UCUGAUUGGUCAGGAUGCCUCUCUGGCCAAUAGAAACCAGGUCCGUUGCGCACAUGCGUAAGGAGGCUAACCCACAGUCGGCUCCGUCCUACGUGAGUCCUACGGCUGCGGUUGCAAGAGAAGAACGGCUGCCAAGUCAGGAGUGGGAACCCCCCCCGGAACUCUGCAGCAACGCGACCCCAAGGAGAGGAGCGAAGAGUCUCGCGCGUGAGAGGCCUUGGAAGCGUGCUGUCGUUCUUGCUGAGGCUCACGGGAGACGUAGUCCGAGCGAAGGGGGCCGAUCCGGCGGAGCAGAUGCAGGAUUGGCCGGGCUGGUCCCUCUGUCACCUCCAAAAAGACCCUUCAAAACAAGAAUGCCAUCUCCUCGGGGUACCCCACACCUAUCCCUCAGAGACUCCAGGACCACCCUUGAGGAGCCUGAGGCUGCACGACUCCGUUUCCGGGGUUUCUGCUAUGAGGAGGUUGAGGGACCCCGAGAGGCACUGGCCCAGCUUCGAGAGUUGUGUCACCAGUGGCUACAGCCUGAGUCAUCCUCCAAAGAACACAUAAUAGAGUUGCUGAUUUUGGAACAGUUCCUGGGUGUGUUGCCCCCUGAGAUCCAGGCCUGGGUUCGAGGGCAGCGACCAGGAAGCCCCGAGGAGGCCGCAGUUCUUGUUGAGGGGCUGCAGCAUGAUCCUGGGCAGCUGCUGGGCUGGAUCACAGCCCACAUCCUGAAGCCAAAGAUGCUUCCUCUAGUCCAGAAGGAGUCCUCAGGGAGUCACCACAUCUCAGCAGCAACGGAGUCCUCCAAGGCAGGCCUUGCGGAGGCACCGCUGAAGGCCGGGAUAGAUCGAUCUACCCAGAUCAGUUGCAGUGUGAAGGAGGAAGUCAGUGCUGAUGGGCAGGAGAUGGUAUCUCCAAGUGCCCUCCUUUCAACCCAGGAUUCCGAGGGACAUCUUGAACAUCAGGAAACGGUCUCCAUAUCCUUCCAAACAGGAAGGAUCCAGGUAAACAGCCUCUCGCAGGAACUGCAGGCCAUGUGUGGGGGAGGGGAUUACCCCUGGUGGCUGUGUUCUGCCCUGUAGUUUUGUAGGAUCCCCUGCCAGUGACUCAUGCGCUUUUUACUGCUUCUGAGUAGUAAAUACCUUCCCUCCCACCAAGUCCUAAGAGCUGAAGAAUAGACCGGUAGAAUCGAACUAGAAAGGAUUUAGGCCCCAGGUCCAGGGUGUCUAGAACUGGCGGGCAUGGCUUCCUCACUUCCAGAGAAGUCAGUUACUGGAAAGGUUUGUGGUAUGAGCCAGCUGUUAUGUGUACGGUUGGAGAGGUGUCCUGCAGUCCUGAGGUCAGAUCAAGAUACUCUUCCCGAACAUUCCUCGAAUCCCUUCUACUGCUCUUCUCAGUGUACAGUGGCAUGGAACCUGAGCUUACCCCACUACCCGAGUGUAUAUAGUUAACGUGGAGGGGGUAGGGAUCUGUGCUCUCCAGGUUCCUUCUGCUUCCGAGCCCCUCCCUUCCCCAGUAGGAUGCCUAGUUAGGGUGUGCUUCAAGGUUAAGAAUCCCUUCUCUGACCCCUCUCUGGUGUCUUCCUCCAUUCCAGACAGUAGUACCAACUCUCGAUGUAACUAUGGCUGCCACCUCCCUUUCUCCAGAUUUGCUUUGGCUUGUCCUUCGAGGUUUUUUUCUCAACCUAUCAAAGACCUAUAUGGCAGAUUUCAGGGCAAGGAAUUUUUUUCCUUGGUAAGGCCACCAUAGGACCCUGUCUUGCCACCAAACUACCUCUCUUCAGACCUUUCCAGCUGGUACCAAGCACCUAAGCUUUUUUUCUCCAUCACUUUUGCGUACUCACCUCGUCACAGUCCUAAAAUUCCUCCUCCUCUUCCUCCUCCUUUUUUCUUUUUUCUUUUUCUUUUUUGGUGUGUGUAUGGGAGGGCAGUUCAAGACAAGGUUUCUUUGAAUAACAAGCCCCAGCUGUCCCGGACUGGCUUUGUAGACCAAGGAACUCCUGAGUGCUGGGAUUAAAGGAGUGGGGCCUGUUGGACUCAUCACAAAAAGAGCUGUGCUGGGGUGUGAUGCCGGAGAAGUACGACACAGUGGUGUCCCAGGCCUGCCGCUGCUACAGCCAGAGACACAUGUUGACUCUGAGCUGAGACCAAAACAGGAGAUGCCACACGAAGGACCAGAAUCCCUCCGGAGCCAUCCCCCAGAAGUGGGAGCCAUUGCAGAUCCAAGGCUAGUUCAAGCCACUCCAAGUGAAAGGCAGAGCCCUUGCAAGGACCCUUCAGUCUUGUCUCCCACACCACUGCUUGAAGCCCCAGCGAGGCCCACACCUCGGAAGCUGUACGUUUGUGAGCAGUGUGGCCUCAGCUUUGACUGGAAGUCCGUUUUCAUCAUCCACCUCCGCACACACACGAGAGGGCCAGGCCUGGAGAGACCAUCACAGGUGGCCCGGGAGCCGGCCAUGAAGCGCUCCCCUGGCCUUCGGGGAUACACAUGCGUGGAGUGUGGGCGCAGCUUCAGCUGGAAGUCACAGCUGGUCAUCCACCGCAAGAGCCAUGCAGGCCAGCGGCGCCACUUCUGCCGCGACUGUGGCUGUAGCUUUGACUGGAAGUUUCAGCUGGUCAUUCACAGGAAGAUCCACCAGCCAGAGGGUCCAUGAGUAGCUGGAGAGGCAUGUCUCACCUUGGAUUCCUCCAUCCCCUAAUGCACCACUUUAGCAUCCUCUCUAGCCAAGAGGAGGUUCUAAGGUACCCCAAAUAGGUCAGGGAUUGCAAGAAGAUUGCCCUGUCCAACACCAGACUAUCCAGUGUAAGGAGAAGAGGCUAGUCCCUUCCUUUGGCCCCUGCUUUGUGGAGCCAGGCCUGGGUUCGAUGACUAACCUAUCCAGCUUGUGCAAAAGGUGGACACUCCCUACUUCAGGAUGCUCAGAAAUUGCCUCAGGUCCCUCCUUGCAGUGGCUGGGCAAGAAGUCUCUGUGGAAGGUACUGGAAACCACAGUUGCCUUUCUCCCCUGCUGCAUGUGACCCUUAGACAAACAUGCUAGAUUUGUUUGUUUUGUUUUGUUUUUUGAGACAGGGUUUUUUCUGUGUAACCCUGGCUAUCCUGGAACUUACUCUGAAGACCAGGCUGGCCUUGAACUCAGAAAUUCACCUGCCUCUGCCUCCCAAGUGCUGGAAUUAAAGGCAUGUGCCACCACUGCCUGGCUAACAUGGUAGAUUUUUAAUGUAAGUUAUACGUCUAUAACAAUUUCUAAGUAAAACUCCUGACUUCUAGCUUCCAUUGACCAAAAGAGCAGCCGUGUGUGCUGGCUAGCAGACUACAGGAACCACAGGGCAGCUGAGCCCUAAAAGGCCUAAUUAGUUACUUCUCUCCUCCAGCCUACCUAGUUUCCUGACUACACACAUUGCUCCCCACCCGCCCUGGCCUUUGAACUCCUGAACUUGAACUUGGAUGAACAACUGACUCUCCUUUGGGUGCAUGAGAGCACAUGAGUGGAUUCUGAGAAGUUAGAUAACCCAUGGGUACCUCAGGCCAUGCAUGCUUCUGGGUGAAGGCUACACCGCACAAUGGCCAGUUAAACUGGAAGACAAAGGGUCAUUCCUUGAUGCCCAGGGAACUGUGACCCUCUUAACAAUCACUCAGAAUUUUUCAGUGCAUGGUGGCCUACUAACUCUGCCUGUAAACUAGGUAGAGCAAAACAGAUUUACUUACUAAUUGUUCCAGUGUCAAAGCACUGAAGCAUGUCUCAUUAGAUCAAAGACAGACUUACCCUGGGAGCUACCCGAGACCCUUGGCUUAGGACCUCUUUUUCCAUCUGCUUAAAGAGCCUUUGAAUGGCAUGGGUCCCCUUAGAUAUUCCAGGGUGAUCACCUGAAGCUCAGGUGAUGAGAUGGGAGCUUUUCUUUUGUUUGAGACAGGGUCUCCUAAUGCAGCAGCUGCUGCCUCUAACUGGUGAUCCUCCUGUCUCAGCUUCCUAUGUGUUGGAACUAUAGGCUUGUACCACCAAGCCCAGGUUGGUAUUUUAAACUCUCUGUAUAUAUGUUUAAGACAGUCUCACUUUAAUGCCCUCAAACUAUCUGUAGUCCUUCAACCUCAGCCCCUGAGUGUUGGAAUUAAAGUUGUGUGUCACUGCGCCAGACUAAGACUUUAAAUACUUUUGAUUUUAAAAUUUCGAACUAUGGAGCAGGAUUCAGUGCUGUAGGCAGAUCUCUGUUAGUUUGAGGUCAGAUUGCUUUGCAUAGUGUGUUCCAGGACAGCCAGGGGCUAUUGUGAGACCCUGUCUUAAAAAUAAGUAAAGAGAAAAAAAAUAAGUAAAGAAAUAAGCAAAUAAAUUCUGCAGAUGGGCACAUCAAAGUGUCGUCUAGAAACCUGAGUUUUCAA